rnacentral:rRNA from 1 species
AAUGAACGUUGGCGGCAUGGAUUAGGCAUGCAAGUCGAGCGAGAAGUGUAGCAAUACACGGAAAGCGGCGGAAGGGAGAGUAAUACGUGGGAAUCUGCCCUUAGACCUGGGAUAGCAGCGGGAAACUGCUGGUAAUACCAGAUAAUGUCCCUGGACCAAAGGUGCAAUUCCGUCCGAGGAUGGGUCCGCGUCCUAUUCGCUAGUUGGUGGGGUAAUGGCCCACAAAGGCAAAGAUGGGUACCGGGUGUGAGAGCAUGGCCCGGCUCACUGGGACUGAGAAACUGCCCAGACACCUACGGGUGGCUGCAGUCGAGAAUCUUCCGCAAUGGACGCAAGUCUGACGGAGCGACGCCGCGUGCAGGAUGAAGGCCUUCGGGUUGUAAACUGCUGUCAGUUGGGAGGAAAUGCAUAAGGGUUCUCUCUUAUGUUUGACCGAUCUUCAGAGGAAGUCCGGGCUAAGUUCGUGCCAGCCGCCGCAGUAAGAC